ensembl:Mt_tRNA
CAUUAUGAAGCUAUAGCAGCAUUAACCUUUUAAGUUAAAGAUAGAGAAAUACUAAACUCUCCAUAAUGA